AUUGAACGCUGGCGGCAUGCUUUACACAUGCAAGUCGAACGGUAACAGGGUGCUUGCACCGCUGACGAGUGGCGAACGGGUGAGUAAUGCGUCGGAACGUGCCGAGUAGUGGGGGAUAACGCAGCGAAAGUUGUGCUAAUACCGCAUACGUACUGAGGUAGAAAGUGGGGGACCUUCGGGCCUCACGCUAUUCGAGCGGCCGACGUCUGAUUAGCUAGUAGGUGAGGUAAAGGCUCACCUAGGCGACGAUCAGUAGCGGGUCUGAGAGGAUGGUCCGCCACACUGGGACGGAGACGCGGCCCAGACUCCUACGGGAGGACGCAGUGGGGAAUUGUGGACAAGGGGCGAAAGCCUGAUCCAGCCAUGCCGCGUGUCUGAAGAAGGCCUUCGGGUUGUAAAGGACUUUUGUCGGGGAGGAAAUCCCCAGCGUUAAUACCGCUGGGGGAUGACAGUACCUGAAGAAUAAGCACCGGCUAACUACGUGCCAGCCGCCGCAGUAAAAC
rnacentral:rRNA from 1 species